ACCCAGCCCCGAUGAUAGGGGCAUCCUUUUUUGUCUAGCUUAUGUAAAAGCUAUGAAACAAAAGAGAUACAGCGGACAGCGGGAAACAGC
rnacentral:sRNA from 1 species